GAUGAACGCUGGCGGCGUGCCUAAUACAUGCAAGUCGAGCGAACAGAUGAGGAGCUUGCUCCUCUGACGUUAGCGGCGGACGGGUGAGUAACACGUGGAUAACCUACCUAUAAGACUGGGAUAACUUCGGGAAACCGGAGCUAAUACCGGAUAAUAUAUUGAACCGCAUGGUUCAAUAGUGAAAGACGGUUUUGCUGUCACUUAUAGAUGGAUCCGCGCCGCAUUAGCUAGUUGGUAAGGUAACGGCUUACCAAGGCAACGAUGCGUAGCCGACCUGAGAGAGUGAUCGCCUCCACUGGAACGGAAACGCGGUCCAGACUCCUACGGGAGGCAGCAGUAGGGAACCUGCCGCAAUGGGCGAAAGCCUGACGGAGCAACGCCGCGUGAGUGAUGAAGGUCUUCGGAUCGUAAAACUCGGUUAUUAGGGAAGAACAAAUGUGUAAGUAACUAUGCACGUCUUGACGGUACCUAAUCAGAAAGCCACGGCUAACUACGUG
rnacentral:rRNA from 1 species